GACGAACGCUGGCGGCGUGCCUAACACAUGCAAGUCGAGCGGGGAUUUAAGUGGAAGUUCUUCGGAAUGGAGAUUUAAAUUCUAGCGGCGGACGGGUGAGUAACGCGUGAACAAUCUGUCCCGGACAGGGGGAUAACACUUGGAAACAGGUGCUAAUACCGCAUAAGACCACGGCCUCGCAUGGGGCUGAGGUAAAAGGAGCAAUCCGGUUCGGGGUGAGUUCGCGUCCGAUUAGCUAGUUGGUGAGGUAACGGCCCACCAAGGCGACGAUCGGUAGCCGGCCUGAGAGGGUGAACGGCCACAUUGGAACGGAGAGACGGUCCAAACUCCUACGGGAGGCAGCAGUGGGGAAUAUUGGGCAAUGGGCGAAAGCCUGACCCAGCAACGCCGCGUGAGGGAAGAAGGUUUUCGGAUUGUAAACCUCUGUCCUAUGGGACGAAGGAAGUGACGGUACCAUAGGAGGAAGCCCCGGCUAACUACGUG
rnacentral:rRNA from 1 species